rnacentral:tRNA from 1 species
AGGGAUUUAGCUCAGUGGCGUGAGCAGCUGCCUAGCAAGCACGAGGUCCUGAGUUCGAUCCCUAGUAUCCCCC